rnacentral:rRNA from 1 species
GACGAACGCUGGCGGCGUGCUUAACACAUGCAAGUCGAACGGAAAGGCCCUGCUUUUGUGGGGUGCUCGAGUGGCGAACGGGUGAGUAACACGUGAGUAACCUGCCCUUGACUUUGGGAUAACUUCAGGAAACUGGGGCUAAUACCGGAUAGGAGCUCCUGCUGCAUGGUGGGGGUUGGAAAGUUUCGGCGGUUGGGGAUGGACUCGCGGCUUAUCAGCUUGUUGGUGGGGUAGUGGCUUACCAAGGCUUUGACGGGUAGCCGGCCUGAGAGGGUGACCGGCCACAUUGGGACUGAGAUACGGCCCAGACUCCUACGGGAGGCAGCAGUGGGGAAUAUUGCACAAUGGGCGGAAGCCUGAUGCAGCAACGCCGCGUGCGGGAUGACGGCCUUCGGGUUGUAAACCGCUUUCGCCUGUGACGAAGCGUGAGUGACGGUAAUGGGUAAAGAAGCACCGGCUAACUACGUGCCAGCAGCCGCGGUGAUACGUAGGGUGCGAGCGUUGUCCGGAUUUAUUGGGCGUAAAGGGCUCGUAGGUGGUUGAUCGCGUCGGAAGUGUAAUCUUGGGGCUUAACCCUGAGCGUGCUUUCGAUACGGGUUGACUUGAGGAAGGUAGGGGAGAAUGGAAUCCCUGGUGGAGCGGUGGAAUGCGCAGAUAUCAGGAGGAACACCAGUGGCGAAGGCGGUUCUCUGGGCCUUUCCUGACGCUGAGGAGCGAAAGCGUGGGGAGCGAACAGGCUUAGAUACCCUGGUAGUCCACGCUGUAAACGGUGGGUACUAGAUGUGGGGUCCAUUCCACGGGUUCCGUGCCGUAGCUAACGCUUUAAGUACCCCGCCUGGGGAGUACGGCCGCAAGGCUAAAACUCAAAGGAAUUGACGGGGCCCCGCACAAGCGGCGGAGCAUGCGGAUUAAUUCGAUGCAACGCGUAGAACCUUACCUGGGUUUGACAUGGAUCGGGAGUGCUCAGAGAUGGGUGUGCCUCUUUUGGGGUCGGUUCACAGGUGGUGCAUGGCUGUCGUCAGCUCGUGUCGUGAGAUGUUGGGUUAAGUCCCGCAACGAGCGCAACCCUUGUUCACUGUUGCCAGCACGUUAUGGUGGGGACUCAGUGGAGACCGCCGGGGUCAACUCGGAGGAAGGUGGGGAUGACGUCGAGUCAUCAUGCCCCUUAUGUCCAGGGCUUCACGCAUGCUACAAUGGCUGGUACAGAGAGUGGCGAGCCUGUGAGGGUGAGCGAAUCUCGGAAAGCCGGUCUCAGUUCGGAUUGGGGUCUGCAACUCGACCUCAUGAAGUCGGAGUCGCUAGUAAUCGCAGAUCAGCAACGCUGCGGUGAAUACGUUCCCGGGGCU